GAGCAAGACGAAACUGCGGCGGUAAUUACUGAUACUGACACUCGUCUAAUUUAUUAAAGCAAUUAAUAUUAAAAUAUUUGAAGAAGAGCUGGUGAGUGAGAGUCGGAUGAGAGACUGUUAGUGCAGAUACAUGAUGAGCAGACUCACGCCGCAGAUACAAGAGAACGAGUCAAGGAGCACAAGGAGUCAAAGAGCGAGAGGAGUCAAGGAGGGAGAGGAGUCAAGGAGCACGAGGAGUCAAAGAGCGAGAGGAGUCAAGGAGCACGAGGAGUCAAAGAGCGAGAGGAGUCAGAGGGAGAGGAGUCAAGGAGCACGAGGAGUCAAAGAGUGAGAGUCAAAGAGAGGUUCCUGUGAGGCGUUCGUGACCGCUUGAGCUGAAAGGAUACAGCGUUCAUGGAUAUGAGAUGGUGCCGCCUGUUCCUGGCCUCCUCUCUGUAGGAGACAGAACCAUCGUCAGCUCACAGAUACACGUCAGUACCGUACCUGCCCAGGUGAGUCUCCCGUACCUGUCCCAUUCUUCAUCAGCCACGUUUCUGUGAGCCACUUUGGUGUGUUUGCCUCGCUGGAACGGCUUCUGCAGCAGCUCGUCUUCACCACGCCUGUAAAAGAGGCCGGAACCAAUCUCGUAACGGUCCUUUAAUACCUCUAACGAACUGCACACGUCCAUAAACUGUAUUCGGUUAUAAUUGGAUUAAAUCGUCUGCUAAAUUUUUGAAUCUUUCAAUAAUGUUAUGGACAGUAGAUGGUGAACUCAUUUCAUUUCUUGCAAUUAUGCAUUGAGGGUCAUAGUAGCCUGCAGAAAAUGACUGUGCAGAUAAACAAUUGCUUUAGAAUUUACAUCAAUUUAGUUUUGAAAACGCCUCACCUCUUCCCAUCAUGCUGCGAUGAUUCUCCUCCACCGUCAUCAUCACUGAAAUCUGAGUCAUACCCGCCGCCCCCGUGCACCUACAGAACAACACAAGUUAAACAUGUUACCUCACGCAACGCAUUAUAAUUAUUUUAUAUUAAUUAAAUCAGUCUGAAAUGAAUAUUUCCAGUAGGGCUGUAACUGGAAUCGUUUAAAAGUCGAAGUCAUAGCUUUCAUUGUGAUUUAUGCAGAAGCAGCACAGAGGGUCACAGAGGUGUGCAAUAGUGGCGAGUUAAAAUGCUUCGUCAUGCUUACAGGGAACUGAGUGAUACCUUUAUCAGCACAAAGCAGGAAAUCUGAUUCAUUACACACACACACACACACACACACACACACACACAGAAUGACUGUGUAAGCUCAAGGGCAAUCCAUUCCCAUCAACUCGAGACACUAAUCAGAUCCUGGGACCAGGCGUAAGUGGAAGACCAGUACUGUGGAUUUCCAUUAAAUAAAAUAUAUUAGCAGGCUACACACUAACAGCUAAAUAAUCAUUCAAAUUAUUAUUUCUAACAUCUUAAAGUGAAUACCUGUUUUAUUACACUUUAUUAAGCCGUAAUUAUACACCGUACCUUUCAGAAUUAAAUUGUUGAGUAUUAAAGCUCUAUGCAUCAGCAGCGAUACUAAUCCACACGGUCAUGCUCACAACAGCUGAGUCAGCUCUCUAAAAGCAUGGUUAGAAAUAUUUCAAAUAAAAGCUGGUCGGGUGGCACAGUUUCUCUAUUCGAACCCGGAUCUCUGUGGUGCUAUCAGCCGGCCAGGCAUCUAUACAGACAUGAGUGAUGUCUGAGAGGAGGGGAGUCUUUGUUAAUAAUAAGGAUUGACGGCCUGUCCAGGGUAUUCCUGCGUUGUGCCCUGUGUUUCGGGUGGUACUGCUAAAUCACCUAAAUCACGUGCAUGUGAUAAUACUACGGUUGCACCACGCAACUAUUCUGAUGUUAAAGCAUUGUAACCCACCAUGCCAAGAAAGUAAUUAAUCAUUUUGUUUCUCAUUAUAGCUUUAAAUACAGAGGUGGUGAGGGGUUGAAUUCUUUAUUCUAUAGAUUUAACAUCGCAGGAAACAUUUUCUGUACGUUUUCACAUCAGAAAAAGAAAAUAAAACAAGUAAUAAAUAACUGAAAUGUGCAUAUUUGCCUAAUGCACCUAAUAUUUGAAUAAAUGUUAAACAAUAAAUC